ensembl:miRNA MIR1271 microRNA mir-1271
CACCCAGAUCAGUGCUUGGCACCUAGUAAGUACUCAGUAUAUACUUGUUGAGUGCCUGCUAUGUGCCAGGCAUUGUGCUGAGGGCU